rnacentral:rRNA from 1 species
CAGCCGCCGCGGUAAUACGGAGGGGGCUAGCGUUGUUCGGAAUUACUGGGCGUGAAGCGUACGUAGGCGGCUUUGUAAGUUAGAGGUGAAAGCCUGGUGCUCAACACCAGAACUGCCUUUAAGACUGCAUCGCUUGAACGUCGGAGAGGUGAGUGGAAUUCCGAGUGUAGAGGUGAGAUUCGUAGAUAUUCGGAAGAACACCAGUGGCGAAGGCGGCUCACUGGACGACUGUUGACGCUGAGGUACGAAAGCGUGGGGAGCAAACAGGAUUAGAUACCCGAGUAGUCCCUGUCUCUUAUAC